rnacentral:rRNA from 1 species
GCAUUCAGUUGCCAUCGGGUAAGUGCCGGGCACUCUGGAAGGACUGCCAUCGACAAGAUGGAGGAAGUGGGGAUGACGUCAAGUCAUCAUGGCCCUUAUGUCCAGGGCGACACACGUGCUACAAUGGCCGGCACAACGGGAAGCGAGUUCGCGAGGACGAGCGGAUCCCUCAAAGCCGGUCGCAGUUCGGAUUGAAGUCUGCAACUCGACUUCAUGAAGCUGGAAUCGCUAGUAAUCGUGGAUCAGCCAAGCCGCGGUGAAUACGUUCCCGGGCCUU